rnacentral:rRNA from 1 species
UGCCACAGCCAUAUCACCCUGCAGCCCAAGACUGGUUGCCCACUGAAGCUAAGCAGGGUUGAGCCUGGCCAGUACCUGGAUGGGAGACCUCCUGGGAAAACUUGGUUGCUGUUGGAA